CCUACGGGAGGCAGCAGUGAGGAAUAUUGGUCAAUGGGCGGAAGCCUGAACCAGCCAAGCCGCGUGAGGGAAGAAGGUAUAGCGUAUCGUAAACCUCUUUUGCCAGGGAACAAAGGCGGUGACUAAUCCACGGAUGAGGUUACCUGAAGAAAAAACAUCGGCUAACCCCGUGCCAUCAGCCGCGGUAAGACGGAGGAGGCGAACGUUAUCCGGAAUGACUUGGCGUAAGGGGGGCGUAGGUUGUUUGGCAAGUUAGUAGCGUAACCCCAAGGCUCAACCUUGGAACUACUACUAAAACUGUUGGACUUGAGUGCAGGAGGGGCAACCGGAAUUCCUAGUGUAGCGGUGGAAUGCGUAGAUAUUAGGAGGAACACCAGUGGCGAAGGCGGGUUGCUAGACUGUAACUGACACUGAGGCACGAAAGCGUGGGGAGCAAACAGGAUUAGAUACCCGAGUAGUC
rnacentral:rRNA from 1 species